rnacentral:rRNA from 1 species
AAACGACUGCUAAUACCGCAUAAUGUCUACGGACCAAAGGGGGCUUCGGCUCUCGCCUUUAGAUUGGCCCAAGUGGGAUUAGCUAGUUGGUGAGGUAAUGGCUCACCAAGGCAACGAUCCCUAGCUGGUUUGAGAGGAUGAUCAGCCACACUGGAACUGAGACACGGUCCAGACUCCUACGGGAGGCAGCAGUGGGGAAUAUUGCACAAUGGGCGCAAGCCUGAUGCAGCCAUGCCGCGUGUGUGAAGAAGGCCUUCGGGUUGUAAAGCACUUUCAGUCAGGAGGAAAGAUUAGUAGUUAAUACCUGCUAGUUGUGACGUUACUGACAGAAGAAGCACCGGCUAACUCCGUGCCAGCAGCCGCGGUAAUACGGAGGGUGCGAGCGUUAAUCGGAAUUACUGGGCGUAAAGCGUACGCAGGCGGUUUGUUAAGCGAGAUGUGAAAGCCCCGGGCUCAACCUGGGAACUGCAUUUCGAACUGGCAAACUAGAGUGUGAUAGAGGGUGGUAGAAUUUCAGGUGUA